rnacentral:rRNA from 1 species
UUUAUUACUGGAUGUCUCUUAGUGGCGAACGGGUGAGUAACGCGUUGGUGACCUGCCUCGAAGUGUGGAAUAACUCCGGGAAACUGGAGCUAAUACCGCAUGUGGUGUGUGGCUUUAGAAACCACUUACUAAAGGUCUUCGGAUCGCUUCGAGAGGGGCCUGCGUCCCAUCAGCUAGUUGGUAGGGUAAAAGCCUACCAAGGCUAUGACGGGUAGGGGACCUGAGAGGGUGAUCCCCCACAAUGGAACUGAAACACGGUCCAUACACCUACGGGUGGCAGCAGUAGGGAAUAUUGCACAAUGGGCGAAAGCCUGAUGCAGCAACGCCGCGUGUGCGAUGAAGGCCUUCGGGUUGUAAAGCACUUUUCUGAGGGAAGAGGAAGGACUGUACCUCAGGAAUAAGUCUCGGCUAACUACGUGCCAGCAGCCGCGGUAACACGUAGGAGGCAAGCGUUAUCCGGAUUUACUGGGCGUAAAGCGCGUGCAGGCGGUUUGGUAAGUUGGAUGUGAAAGCUCCUGGCUUAACUGGGAGAGGUCGUUCAAUACUGCCAGACUAGAGGACGGUAGAGGAAGGUAGAAUUCCUGGUGUAGUGGUGAAAUGCGUAGAUAUCAGGAGGAAUACCAGAGGCGAGGGCGGCCUUCUGGGCCGUUCCUGACGCUAAGACGCGAAAGCAUGGGUAGCAAACGGGAUUAGAAACCCCGGUUGUCCAUGCUGUAAACGAUGCAAACUUGGUGUUGGUGGUGUAAAAGCCAUCAGUGCCGAAGCUAACGCGAUAAGUUUGCCUCCUGGGGAUUACGGCCGCAAGGUUAAAACUCAAAGGAAUUGACGGGUUCCCGCACAAGCAGCGGAGCGUGUGGUUUAAUUCGAUACUACGUGAAGAACCUUACCUGGGCUUGACAUAUAGGUGGUAGGGAUCCGAAAGGUGACCGACCCUUCGGGGAGCCUAUACAGGUGCUGCAUGGCUGUCGUCAGCUCGUGUCGUGAGAUGUUGGGUUAAGUCCCGCAACGAGCGCAACCCUUGUCCUUAGUUGCCAGCACGUAAUGGUGGGAACUCUAAGGAGACUGCCGGUGACAAACCGGAGGAAGGUGGGGACGACGUCAAGUCAUCAUGGCCCUUAUGGGCUGGGCUACACACGUGCUACAAUGGGCUGUACAGAGGGUCGCGAACCCGCGAGGGGGAGCCAAUCCCACAAAGCAGCUCUUAGUCCGGAUUGCAGUCUGCAACUCGACUGCAUGAAGUUGGAAUCGCUAGUAAUCGUAGAUCAGAACUGCUACGGUGAAUACGUUCCCGGGCCUUGUACACACCGCCCGUCACACCAUGGGAGUGGGUUGCAAAAGAAGUGGCUAGUCUAACCUUCGGGAGGACGGUCACCACUUUGUGAUUCAUGACUGGGGUGAAGUCGUAACAAGGUA